rnacentral:rRNA from 1 species
CGGACCGGCGGACGGGUGCGUAACGCGUAUGCAACCUGCCUGACACAGGGGGAUAAUCCGAAGAAAUUUGGUCUAAUACCCCAUAAUACCGAUAUAGGCAUCUAUGUUGGUUGAAAGCUUUGGUGGUGUCAGAUGGGCGUGCGUUGUAUUAGCUAGUUGGUGAGGUAACGGCUCACCAAGGCGACGAUACAUAGGGGGACUGAGAGGUUAACCCCCCCACACUGGUACUGAGACACGGACCAGACUCCUACGGGAGGCCAGCAUG